AAUGAGCUGUGAUACUUCCAGGUAAGUGUUUGUUAUGCAAGGCAUAACAAGUUCGAAUGCAGGAAGUAAUCCAUUCAGAAAUUCUCUGAGAAGAGAUUGUUUGUCCCUUAGAUCUUUCAGCAUAAGAGAUGAAAAGUCUAGGUGAGGUUCGCCACAACUUCAUGCGGUCAACGUAGAACACCAGAGCUCUCUGGAUGUCGAGAGUGUGCCAUGCAGCCUGGACUGGGUCGACGUGAGGCUUCGGAAAGAAGGCACGCAGUCUCGGCAUCCUGGAGCCAUGAAGGAGCCAGGCAUGGAGAUGGAGCUUGAGAAAGUCUGGAUGGAGAGUCCAUCCAUGGUUCUGCGAGAGAAAGCCGUGCUGAAAUGGGAAGGGAUGCGGGUCCAUCACCGCCAUCUUGAGGCGAAAUGAGGAGAACAAUUGGCUCCGUCUGCUGCCGAGGACGAUAGAGAAGGAACUGAGGAGCUGCGCCGCACACGCGCCCAACAAUUCCAACGAUGCUAGAAGGUGCCACGGCGCCUGCGCGGCGUGGCAGAAACUGCUAGAAAAGUCUCUGGUCACCGGCGCGAGGAUGCACCAGCACCCAGAGUGGAGCACCCAUGGAAACCACUCGAAGGAGAACUGAUAGAUACUCACAGUAAAUAAGAAUUAAGUGUAGCUGCUAUUUUUCUAGUCCACUUGCCUUUCUAACUUACAAAGGAAAAGCAAAUAUGAAUAAGCUGAUAGUGUGUAUCAGUCACAAAUCCUUAAGCACUGCAUUAUUUUGAGGGGGAAUAAAAAUUGCCACAUACAACUAAGAAGCUCAGCAAAAUGUUUUUCAUGAAAAUAUACUAGACCUAGUCAGGGGGGAAUAUUUUUACACAUAGGAGUCACAAUGAAAUUUAAAGUUACCUACAGUAUUUUCAUCUUUGCAUCACAUGUGCAAUGGGUAGAAUGGGGUGAGAUUUUUUUCAUCAAAUAGUAAAUUCUCAGAAAAUGCAUUUUGGGGAUACUGAAGUUAUUCAUGAAUUCAGAUCAAAUUUGGCAAAUAAUUUCAGUCCCUCCUUCUAAGUCCCUAAAAAGCAACAAUACUAAAAGUAUUGAAAUGAUUAAUUUAGAAAAAAUGUCACUUCCCUCAUACUUUCUAGCAGACGGGUGAGGUUGUGGUCAUGUUCUACCUAUGCUUCCACUAUUCUGUCUCCACAUCUGCACACCAGAAUGCCAUCAGUAAUAAUGCGGAUCCCUGAAACUCCUAUUAUCACCACUACCAAGACUUCCUGAAAUUCUCCCAUUGCAGCUUGAUCCCACAUGGCAUUCUCAAUGGUAUUUAUCUAUCUGCUGGUGUCCAACAUGUGGUAAGGUAUCCAUUAGCACUUCCCAAUCUUUGGCAUCAAGUAUUGAGAAUAUUUUUACUUUUUGAAAGUCCAGUGGUAUUUCUUUAUUUAUAAGCAGGUUUUUUUUGACUGCUUCACAUGUAUUGGUUAGUUCAAACAGACAGAUUGCCCAGAUGAGGAUCCUAGCCAGUGUGGAAAAUAUUUUUGAUGCCUCCUUCAGCAGCCCAAAAUAAAAUGCCAGCCAACCAGAGCUGAGCUGGAAAUAAAAGCUCAGCAUCACAGCAGUUUGGCAUCGCCUCAAGACUCGGUGCCCAGAAUGACUGCCCUGUGCUAUCACUCCUAGAAUGGCCUCAAGCUUGCCUGGCUUUUCAUGCUGCUUAUCUGACUUAUGUGCUCUGAGGCAAUACUUGUGUUGGCUAUGACAUCCCAGCCCUUCACCUUCCCCUCCUAAAAAAUACUUUGUUAUAGAGAUGCAACAAUAUAUUAUUGUCUGCCCUGGAUACAUUUCUUCUUUUAUUUGUGUGUCCAUUCCAGUGAUUUUCAAACUUUUUUUCUGGUGAUCCAGUUGAAGAAAAUUGUCACUUAACUUCCAAUGGCUCCUGAUCAGCAGCACAGAGGGGCGCAAAGGUAAGCUUUCCACCCAUCCUGGCACCAUGGACUGCGCUGCACU